CGUAUCAUCACAUAAAUAUCCUUGGGUGUGUUUUAAGACGCCUGUGAGGGACAAGCUGGAGCCAGUGGUCUUUUCCCUCAACCUGUCCUUAGAUGAACAAAAACCGAAAUCAAGACGCUCCAUUCAGAACCUGGACUCAUUCCCUAUUCUCAGUCAAGACCAGAAACUCACCCAAAGAAGUGAGAUUAACUUCCAGAACGAGUGUGGCUCUGACAACAAGUGCACCAGCAACCUGCAGCUGACGGCCCAUUUUGCCGACAAUAAGGAAAAGCCGUUCCCCAGGCAGGAAAAAUCCCAAAUCCUCCAGUUUAACAGCAGCAUGAAGAUCAUACGCCUGAUGGUGGAGGUGACCAACUUUCCCGCAAGAGGGAAGCUGGCUGAGGACGCCCACCAGGCCACGCUCAACGUCACCAUCCCUGAUGCGCUCAAAUACUCUGGCGUCAGGUCCCAGGAUCAUGAUGUUGAAUGUCGCUAUGACGGCUCUGUCCUUUGUGAAUUGGGGAAUCCACUCAAAGGCAAGGGAAAGGUACGGCAUCUCAGCGCUGACGUCCCG